AGGGUCUGACUAGUUCAAAUGCAGCGGUUGCGGUUGCGGGAGUUUGUGGAUGCGGGCUGUUGCGGUUUUUAGCGGUUUUAAGAGAUUUGUACGACUGGUACUGCGGUUGAAAAUUAGUGCGUUUGCGGGUGACUUAUGACUGACUAACUACCAAAUACGGUAACAAUCAAAUAAUAAAUUAACAAUAUUUUCAUUUAAUAUAAUUAUAAAAAUAUCAAAAAUCAUAAUAUUAUAAUAAAUAUAAAAUUUAGAUUUAGAAAGUUAUAAUUUUAAUUUUUUAAAAAUUUAUUGAAAUUUUUUUUACUAUACAAUUUUAUAAUAUUAAUUAAAACAUAAUAGAUAUAUUUUAAUAUUUUCAUAAUAUCAAUUUUUAAAUUUUUAUUAAAUAUUUUUACUUUUGUAUAUAUAUUGUUUUUGAGAAAAAGAAAAAAAAUUUACCCUUCCGCAACCGUCCGCAACCGCAAAUGCUAGCUGGAGCCAGCUUUUGAAUUUAUGAGAUUCAGAGCGGUUUAGAGCGAUUUGAGUGAUUGUUGCAAACUGUCGACAACUGCUACCAACCGUAAAAGCUGCGUUUGUGAGUGGUAGCGGGAAAACCAGUUGCCCUCUAAAUCAUUUGCUUUUGAUGGGAUCUACUGAUUAUUUAAUUAUUUUUUCUCUAAAAACUUUUUUUUAAGGAUUCUCAUUGCAAUGCUCUUACAUGCGUAGUAAUAUUCAGCCCAUCUCGACACUGACCAUAGUGUCAGCCUGUCAGCAUGUGCGCCACUUAAAAUACAUCUUAACAUUUCUUAUUUUAUUAGAGAAUUUGUUGUGGGCGAUCAAUUAUGGCCGGCAAUUACAACUUUUACAUAUGAUAUGUAGUGCUAAAGAAAUAUAUUUCUUUUUUAAAAACAAAAUGUACUAUAUUAUCAAAUUCCAUUGUAUCGAGAAAGAGAAUAAAAAUUAUUUAUAAUACUAUUUUUUUCGUUUCUUCUUUAUUUGCAUACUUAAAAAAUAAAAAUCGAUAAGUGUGACUGGAUCACAGAGGCGGAGGCAGCUGUGUGAGAGGGGGUCACUUCACCCCCUAUAUAUUUUUGUUGAAAAUAAAUUUACUUGCAUUUUGGAAAAAAGAAUCCGGUAAAAUGUUGUACAAUUAGUAUUCUAACCCCAUAAUAUUUCCUCAAAUAUGACUUGAUCCCAUCAAUACUAUUAAAACAGAAGGUCAUUUUUUGAGGUAUCAUUUUGUUUCAACAAUAUUUACAGAACCAUGCCACUACUUUAUUUAAAACCUAUACUUUUAAUUAUAUAGAAAUAUUCAACUAAAUAUCUUUUAAUCUAAAAAUUAAUUUUUAUUUAAUUUUCUUUCCUUUACUUUCAGCGUAGUGAAUAUAGUUGGAGGAAUUAGAUUUAUUUUCAGUUUUUGGAUUCGAUGAAGGAGCUUUGUUGAUUCCCAAAACUUUAAAAAAAUUCUCAUGAGUUCUUCCAUUCUUUUUUUUUCUUCCAUUGUUCUACCAAUUAGUUAAAAAAUAGUCUCUUUUCUCUCUUAGCAACAAGAUUGAGAAAUAGGGAGACUUUACUCUUCACCUUCUUCUCUUUUCUCUCUGUGACUUUUUUUAGCUGAUUCAUCUUUCUUUUUCUCGCUGAUUAAGCUCUCAAGUCUCAGACAUAUAAGAGUUUAAGAGCAAUUCUAUCUGAGUCAAUCACCGGCAGAUGAACUCGUGUUGCCUAGCAUAUCAAAAGGAGCUUUUGAAAGAAACAAUGCCCAAACAUAAGGCUGUAUUGAUCUGGUAUUUUAUUUCCUCAGAAGAGUGUUCGUCUCUGAUUGAUGGAGUUGAUGUGUUUGUAAAUUUCAAGGUGAGAAGUUGGUGCUGGAAAGAAACAUCACUUCCUCUGCAUUGUUUCCUUCUCAAAACAGUUAACUGUUUCAAGUAAUGCACCAACAAAAGGAAAAUUAGCUCCAGUGAUUCUGCCGAGAUUUAUGCAAUACUUAGGCAUAUUUUGUAUAUAUAUGUCGAAUAAUUCUCAUCAUUAAUAUUUUUAAAUCGAUGAUUCUAUACAGCUAUUGUAAUAUUUAUUGUUAAAAAAAUAUAUUAAGAGAUCUUAAGAGA